rnacentral:lncRNA from 9 species
CCCGUUUCUCGCGUUCCAAAGCUGCCCGCGCUUUUCGCGCUUCGCCUCAGCGAGCGCUCGCUUCGAGAAGCAGCUUAGGGUAAAGGCACAGACACCUAAGCAGGCGUGAGAUCGUUGUGACGCCAGGAGGGAGACCCCAAAAGGCCGCAGUCGAAGGAAGCCCGAGUCCCGGCUGCUGUCGGCCUUCCCUGAGGGCUUUGGCUGGGCUCCUCGGGCCGCGCGCCAUCUGAGCGCAUCCCGCCUCACGGACCUUGUCCUGCCGCGCCGACCCGGUCACCCUGGUGAGACCUUUGAAACACUUGCCGCACCAGCCAUCCGGUCCGGACCGUUUCCUUCACGUGUUUCUAACGUGGCUGUUGCCAGAAUGAACUCAAGUGGGAAAAUGGCUCAGCAGGACCAGGCAUACAUAGCACAGACCACUUCUGUAGUUUCACUUGCCAUUGACCUCUAGAUAAUUGUCAGAGCCUUUUACUCUGGCAGAACUAUCCUCAGGAUUCAACAAAUCACCCCGCCCCAGACCUGUGCAACCAGAGAGAAUGGAAUGAUAGAGUACCUCGUGCUUGAGGCAUGGCUCAUGGGGAAUGAAAUCCAAGGGAGAGUGAGUGAAGAGUUUGGAAGGAUGAGUUAAAAUGAGGCAAGGCACAAGACAGUGAGUCUCCUCAGCUGGUUGUGGGUGUGUGGCCCUAAGGGAAGUAUCCUAAAAGUAUAGAAUUAAGGGCUCACACGUAUUGAAGGGAUUGGGGCUGUGUUCACAAAAACAGUACUUUUUGAAUUUUAAUGUCCAUACAGACUACCUAGGGAUCUUGUGAAAGUGGAGAUUCUGAUUCAGCAAAUCUGGGGUGUGCCCUGAGAGUCUGCAUUUUUGAUGAGCUUCCAAGUGAUACUGAUGCUGCUGAUACUCCACAUUUUGAGUAAUGCUGAAGAGAAGUUACACGAGGCACUUGUUAAAAAUGGCAAGGAAGACUUUAUUCAAGACUAGUGCAAUAGGGGAGAGAGAUUGACGUCAACUUUGAAUCCAACAGGGACAGCCAGGGAUUUACAGCCUACAGGUAGGGUGAGGGGAGAUUGAAAAGUUACUAAGAGGAAUUUGG